CAGGAAAGCACAUGGUUUGCUUCGCGGUCAUCUUGGAAAGGACGCAGCUGCCAUCCAACCCCAUAAGUGACCGUUGAUGAAAGGGAUCAUUGGCCAUCAUCAACAUGUCUUUAUCCUGUUUUCCUUCUUCACCCC